rnacentral:rRNA from 1 species
CGGGUGCACUGAUCCAGCCGGGCCUUUCCCUCUGUGGAACCCCAUGGCCUUCACUGGCUGUGGUGGGGAAACAGGACUUUUACUUUGAAAAAAUUAGAGUGCUCCAGGCAGGCCUAUGCUCGAAUACAUUAGCAUGGAAUAAUAGAAUAGGACGUGUGGUUCUAUUUUGUUGGUUUCUAGGACCGCCGUAAUGAUUAAUAGGGACAGUCGGGGGCAUCAGUAUUCAAUUGUCAGAGGUGAAAUUCUUGGAUCUAUUGAAGACUAACUACUGCGAAAGCAUUUGCCAAGGAUGUUUUCAUUGAUAAGGAACGAAAGUUAGGGGAUCGAAGACGAUCAGAUACCGUCGUAGUCUUAACUAUAAACUAUGCCGACUAGGGAUCGGACGAUGUUAUUCUUUGACGCGUUCGGCACCUUUCGGGAAAUCAAAGUGCUUGGGCUCCAGGGGGAGUAUGGUCGCAAGGCUGAAACUUAAAGAAAUUGACGGAAGGGCACCACCAGGGGUGGAACCUGCGGCUUAAUUUGACUCAACACGGGGAAACCCACCAGGUCCAGACACAGUGAGGAUUGACAGAUUGAGAGCUCUUUCUUGAUUCUGUGGGUGGUGGUGCAUGGCCGUUCUUAGUUGGUGGAGUGAUUUGUCUGCUUAAUUGCGAUAACGAACGAGACCUUAACCUGCUAAAUAGCCCGUACUGCUUUGGCAGUUCGCCGGCUUCUUAGAGGGACUAUCGG